GACGAACGCUGGCGGCGUGCUUAACACAUGCAAGUCGAACGGAAAGGCCCUGCUUUUGUGGGGUGCUCGAGUGGCGAACGGGUGAGUAACACGUGAGUAACCUGCCCUUGACUUUGGGAUAACUUCAGGAAACUGGGGCUAAUACCGGAUAGGAGCUCCUGCUGCAUGGUGGGGGUUGGAAAGUUUCGGCGGUUGGGGAUGGACUCGCGGCUUAUCAGCUUGUUGGUGGGGUAGUGGCUUACCAAGGCUUUGACGGGUAGCCGGCCUGAGAGGGUGACCGGCCACAUUGGGACUAGGAUACGGCCCAGACUCCUACGGGGGGCAGCAGUGGGGAAUAUUGCACAAUGGGCGGAAGCCUGAUGCAGCAACGCCGCGUGCGGGAUGACGGCCUUCGGGUUGUAAACCGCUUUCGCCUGUGACGAAGCGUGAGUGACGGUAAUGGGUAAAGAAGCACCGGCUAACUACGUG
rnacentral:rRNA from 1 species